AGCCCUGGCAGCCGCUGUGACAAGGGCUCCACGCUGGGGUUCUGGCUGCCUGCUGAGGUCCCCCAGGGCUGGCCUGGACACCCCCUCACAGCCCUGCCCUGUGUGUCCCCUCAUUCCAGAGGCGCCGGCCACUCCACGUGGACUCUGGGGCUGUGUGAGCUGCCCAGGCUCCGAGGCCCCACGGCCCAGUGGGUUGGCCUGCAGGGUUGGCUCUCCACCUCAGCUUCCCAAACCCUGGCCCAGCUGGAGGGCAGCACGAACAGAGCAGAGGAGAAGAGAAGGUGAGGCUGGCUGUGUCACGCAUCCCCAGCUGCCUCCAAGCCUCCGUGGCCCCCGAGGAUGGGGGCAGAGAGGAGAGCAUGGUGCUGCAGGUGUGUGCCCAUGGGUGGGCAGCAGAGGUGGAGGCCCUUCUCCAGGACGAGGAGCGGCCGCUCCAGCCCUUGGGACGCCUGGCGCUGCAGGCUGCCAACCAGAGCCUCCGCCGGGCGGCGCAUGGCUGCCCGGGGCCCCUGCUGGACCAUGUGGAGGGGAGAGGGCUGGGCAGGGCCGGGGCUGCUGGUGGUCUCUCCUUCAGGUGCCUCCAUGCCCAGAAAACCAGCACUGACGGCCCCAGAGCACAGCCCACACCAUCCUGGGCCCUCCAGCUGGCUCUGAGAGCCUUCUGUCCACUUCCUUCCCAUGAGGCCUAGAGCCCCAGGCCGUUCCUCUGUCCCCACAGACCAGGAUCGCAGCGGUUGGGUCUCAGGUGCAAACCCAGCUGGAAGAGAAGCUCAGAAGCAUGGGGGACUAAGUGAGAAGAUUCCAGCAGCUGAUGGGUAGACCAUGAGGCAGAACAGGGAAGCAUGUGUGUGGAGCCCGCUCUGGCCUGGCUCUGCCCCCCGCACCCAGGCACGAGGGUCUGGAGUGCUGUAUCCUCGGCCUCCACCCUGCUCUUGCCUCAGUUUCCCUGCCUAGGUGCAGCCGAUGGGUGUUCUGGACAGCACGGCGG
rnacentral:lncRNA from 1 species